UACGAAGGGGGGCUAGCGUUGCUCGGAAUCACUGGGCGUAAAGGGUGCGUAGGCGGGUCUUUAAGUCAGGGGUGAAAUCCUGGAGCUCAACUCCAGAACUGCCUUUGAUACUGAGGAUCUUGAGUUCGGGAGAGGUGAGUGGAACUGCGAGUGUAGAGGUGAAAUUCGUAGAUAUUCGCAAGAACACCAGUGGCGAAGGCGGCUUCCUGGUCUGCGACUGACGCUGUGGCGCGAAAGCUAGGGGAGCAAACGGG
rnacentral:rRNA from 1 species